rnacentral:lncRNA from 1 species
AUGGCCCAGCCGUGUCAGCAGCAGCAGGAGGAAGAGAAACCCCAGAUGCAGAGCUUUUUUCAGCGAAGGACGCAGGCGUUAACCCUUCCAUGGCACCGAGCGGAGCUGCAGCAGCCUCUGAGCCUCAGCCCCGCACAGGGCUGUAAGCGGGGGCUGGAGCAGAGCACCAAGUCCAGCAACCACACCAGGCUGUCAUCCCAGGCUGCCAUACUGGGAGCAAGUAUUUCCAGCACAAACCAGAAAACACCAAUACUGUCUGCCAUCCCCCCAACCUCUGCAGAGCAAUGCAGGGGAGCAGCUGCCUCACCCCCAGGGCAGCGAGGAGCGUGGCAAGGCUCUGUCCUGGCCACAAGGAACAGGAGCACAUACCUCGCUCACACCGUGCCCCGAACAGACACGAAGCCCCUCUGCACGGCACUCAGCCCCACGUGCCUCCUUCCCACCCGCUGCCCCAUGCAGGCUGCUCACCACCGCCCUGCACCCCGAGGACCAUCCUGCCGGGCCGUGUCCCGCUGCCCACGUCCGCACAGCGCUGCAGAGGUGCUGCCCUUUGGGGUGCCGACAGCUGCCCCCUCCCAGCACUUCCCGGGUGAGUCAGGGCAGCGCCGGGCCAAUGAGCUCCGUGCUGUGCCAGGCGUCAUCGCAGCCUGGCCGGGAGCUGGCAUCAGCAACGCCCGGUUCCUGUGCAGCCAGAGCCCCGCGCCCCCUCCUCGGCCCCCAGGGUCGCUGCCGCCCACCCAUCCUUGCAGGCACUGGAGCCGGCCCGGCCCUUCCUUCCUCAGGGGCUGCCAGCAUGCAUGCGGCUCAGCACGUCCCGAGCUCAGGGAGGUGACACAAGGGACCCCUCUCCCACCCCAUCUGGGGCCCCUACCCUGCCCUGAAGAUCUGGCGCUGCCCAGCCGUACCCCCCCAGCUGUGGGUUCACGGCCUGCGUGGGCUAUAAGGACCACCACCACCACCACCUCUCAUCCCCCACAACGGUGCCGUGCCUGCAGCAGCAGAGCCCUCAGCAAGGCCCCGUCCCGCUGCAGCUCCCUGAAGAGACCACAAGAGCUCCGCCACAUUGACUCAGCUAAAUCCUGCUCCACGGCGUGCAAUGGAAAAACAGCAUCCAGAGCACUGGCUGCAGGGAUCUCCCAGGAAAGCCCAGGGAAGAAAGGCCUAAAAAAAGGCUCACAUUGGCCUUUCAGCUGA